GUUUCUACAAACUCCUUCUUUUCUAUCCUACAUUUAAGUCUCUCUCCAUAUUUGACUACUCUAGACUUUUAUUUCCUGUACAUUGGUAAAGUCUGCUGUUUUGUAAGAUCUCUUUCCACAUAUGGCUUAAUUCAAUACAAACUUUUUUUGUGGUUGUAUAUACGAUCAGCAGACAUUUAUUCCAUGGUUUUUUACAAAAUAUAUAUAUGGAUACAGGAUAUCUGUGG